rnacentral:rRNA from 1 species
UACGGGGGGGGCAAGCGUUGUUCGGAAUCACUGGGCAUAAAGCGCACGUAGGCGGUGACGUAAGUCGGGUGUGAAAUCCCUCGGCCUAACCGAGGAACUGCGCCCGAUACUGCGUUGCUUGAGGACCAGAGGGGUGCAUGGAAUUUCCGGUGGAGCGGUGAAAUGCGUUGAUAUCGGAAGGAACUCCGGCGGCGAAAGCGAUGCACUGGCUGGUUUCUGACGCUGAGGUGCGAAAGCCAGGGGAGCAAACGGG